rnacentral:rRNA from 1 species
GACGAACGCUGACGGCGUGCCUAAUACAUGCAAGUAGAACGCAGUUGCGAACGGGUGAGUAACGCGUAGGUAACUGCCUCAUAGCUGGGGAUUACUAUUGGAAACGAUAGCUCAUACCGCAUACUGUGAGAUGGACCUGCGUUGUAUUAGCUAGGUGGUGCGGUAAAGGCUCACCAAGGCGACGAUACAUAGCCGACCUGAGAGGGUGGUCGACCACACUUGGACUGAGCUACGGCCCAAGCUCCUACGGCAGGCAGAAGUAGGGAAACUUCGGCGAUAGACGCAAGUGUGACCAAGCGACGCCGCGUGAGUGCAGAAGGUUUUCGUAUCGUAAAGCUGUGUUGUUCGAGCAGCAGUAACAAACGAGACAGUGACAGCUAACUACGUGUCAGCAGCCGCGGUAAUAC